rnacentral:rRNA from 1 species
GUUGAACGCUGGCGGCGUGCUUAACACAUGCAAGUCGAACGAUGAAGCCCAGCUUGCUGGGUGGAUUAGUGGCGAACGGGUGAGUAACACGUGAGUAACCUGCCCUUAACUCUGGGAUAAGCCUGGGAAACUGGGUCUAAUACCGGAUAGGAGCGUCCACCGCAUGGUGGGUGUUUGAAAGAUUUAUCGGUUUUGGAUGGACUCGCGGCCUAUCAGCUUGUUGGUGAGGGAAUGGCUCACCAAGGCGACGACGGGUAGCCGGCCUGAGAGGGUGACCGCCUACACUGGGACUGAGACAAGCCCCAGACUCCUAUAGGAGGCAACGGUGGGAAGAAUUACACAAUGAGCGCAAGCGUGUUGAGGCGAGGCAGCGUGAGGGAUGACGGCCAACGGGUUAUAAAGCUCAUUCAGUAGGGAAGAAGCGAAAGUGACGGUACCUGCAGAAGAAGCACCGGCUAACUUCGUG